AUUGAACGCUGGCGGCAGGCUUAACACAUGCAAGUCGAGCGAGAAGAUUUCCUUCGGGAAUGAUUCUAGCGGCGGACGGGUGAGUAACACGUGGGCAACCUGCCUCAAAGAGGGGGAUAGCCUCCCGAAAGGGAGAUUAAUACCGCAUAAAGUUAUUUUAUCGCAUGGUAAAAUAACCAAAGGAGUAAUCCACUUUGAGAUGGACCCGCGUCGUAUUAGCUAGUUGGUAAGGUAAUGGCUUACCAAGGCGACGAUGCGUAGCCGACCUGAGAGGGUGAUCCGCCACAUUGGAACUGAGAGACGGUCCAGACUCCUACGGGAGGCAGCAGUGGGGAAUAUUGCACAAUGGGCGAAAGCCUGAUGCAGCAACGCCGCGUGGGUGAUGAAGGUUUUCGGAUUGUAAAGCCCUGUCUUUUGGGACGAUAAUGACGGUACCAAAGGAGGAAGCCACGGCUAACUACGUGCCAGCCGCCGCGGUAACAC
rnacentral:rRNA from 1 species